GUGUGUCCUUAACGAUCUUUUGCUAAUUCAACCUGUUAAGCACUAUACUUGUGUAAAAUGUCAAAUUUAUUCGUAGCUAGAUUAUUUUCAGACAGCGGUUUUUUCUUUUGCUGGCUUCUAGAAUAAGCUGGAAUAAGCUGCCCCCUACCCAGCUUAAAUUUUUUUGGUUGGGCUUCUAGAAUAAGCUGGGUAGGGGACAGCUUAUUCUAGAAGCUCAAAAAAGCCAUCAAAAGAACUGGCCCUAAUAUUUGUUUGUAAUGUUUCAUUCUUUACUGCUGUGUGCUAAGUAUGUUUCUCCUAUUUGCAUUAAUUUAACUAAUUUGAAGCGCAUGUCUUGUAAUUAAUCUUUAAUAUUCUAUGUUGACUAUGCUUGCUACCUAAUUGUAACAAUCAAGUUAUAAACAUUAUUUUUCACUCUGCUUGCUACCUAUGUUGGGGGCCCCUAAAAAGUUUUGUGAAAUUGUAUGUACUCAAUGGAUCACUCAAUUUUCUAAAUGUUUUUUCUUCGAACUAUACCUUUUCACUUUGAGUUUUGCUAGUCCCUUGAGUUUUAUCUUUGUGUGACUCUAUGUUUAUAUGUAUAAUAUAUUUCUUAGCCAGUUAGCUCAAAUUGUGCGGAACUUUGAUCUCAACUUUAUUUUAGAACUGGUAGCUUUUAUUGUUUUUUCUUCUGUUUCCACCUUAUAAUUGUGAAUAUUUCGUCUAUAAAUAGAAUGAAGUUAUUGAAUAAAUCAGAAUUAUCUCAGUGCGAUUUCUGCUUUAUAAUAUAGGAUAUGAUUGUACUAUGUUGCAGGCGUGCAUGUAGAGUCUAACUGCUUAUUUCGUUUGAUUUGUUUUCACUUUUUGGUAGCGGGAGGCAUUUUGACCUUAUGUGCACUGUUACUUAUUGUGCCACAGUGUUGGAAUUCCUUGUUUCACACUUGUCUUUUUAUGGAUCAUAAUGUUACUUUCUCGUUUGUCAUGAAUUCAGAUAGCAGGUGUGCAUGUAAUUUUAUUGUUUAGUUCAUAUCUGCUUGAUUUUGUCCCAUUUUAGUUAAAAAACUGGUUGUAGAACACAUUUUAUUAUGUUUUUGACACUGUUGUAUGCUAUCUUACAUGGCAGCAGGUCUGUGCAUAUGUUUAUGAUGUUCAUACAUUUUACUUCUUACAUAUCAUAAUGUAUCUACUUUCCUGUUGGUCAUGAAUUCAGAUAGCAGGUCUGUGCAUGUAGUUUGAUUAUUUAUUUCAUAUCUGCUUGAUUUUCUGUUUCUCUUAAAAAACUGGUAGCUGAAGCCAUUUUGACGUUUUUGACACCGUUAUUUAUUGUGAAGUUCAUAUAUGUAAUUUAUUUCCAAACAUCUUAUUGUGUUGUACAACUUGGCCAUGUAUUUUGACUUGAAGUUCAUAGUACCACAUAAUCUAGUUAAUUUGGUUUUUCAUGAAAAACCAUUGUUAUAGCAUUGUUUUGAAUGUGGCUAUUUUUCUAUCUCCGGUAGUGCACUCUGCAUAAACUUUUUUGUUCCAAAUUUGUAGUGUGAUUGCGGCACAUUGUGUGGGUUAAUUACAGUCGGCCUCUUUUCAAUAGCAUCUGGCUCUUGUGUUUACAUAUUUUGGGGCGGAGGGAGUAGUUGAUUGAUGAUGUAAAAUAGCAGUUGAUUGUUCCUUUAAUAGGAAAGGGUUGCUGUGCCGUUACCUUUCUUGGUUGGAAUAUGUUUUAAGCUUACUUGAAAUGGUUCAUACUGAUUUUGUUUUGCUUUGUUUUGUGUGUUUGACUUGGAAUGUUAAUUCCAAAUUACUAUAUUUUGACUUGGAAUGUACAUUGCAGGUACUUCUAUAAGUAUAUGCACGGGGAAUGAGGCAGCGAUGAAAUGCACAAGAUGGAGAAGACGCUGAGGAAGACAGUUGAACGUGUGGAUGAGAAGGUCCAGUUGAUCAAGGAUGCGAAUGGGUUUUGUCCUCCCAGGCCUAAGCUGUUCGACAGCCUUCCUAUGCCUCAACAGAAAAAGUGAACGCAAGAACGAAACAGGGCGCCAGUCUCUUGCUGUUCUACAUCAAGCAUACGGUUCCUUAUUGUAAAUCUGCUGGGCUACAACAAGCAUACGGUUCCUUACUGUAAAUCUGCUGUGCUACGUUACCGAUACUUGUCUCUUGCUGUAUAUGCGCUGUGCUACGUCAAAUAUCCCGCCCGCCUCUUGCUGUAAAUCAGCUUUGCUAACCUCAAGGAUGGAUGUUUGACACUGAUUUUGUUGGUGUUGAAAGGUUUACACCGUACAAAUGUUGUAGUACGUACAAUACUAUUUUUAAUUGUUUGGCAGGCUACAUAGUGAUUUGGGUUGUGAAGAUCAACACUCGCUCAGAAUAUAUUGUUUUGUACUAGGAAACAAUUUUGUGCCCAUUUAAAUGUUGUGUUCUUCAA